CCCACCUCCCCGCUGUCUGCCCCCGUUUCUUUGCUCGUUUUCCCCAGGCUGGUCUUCCUUUCAGAACUUGAGAAGCAUUUUUGCCUUCCCGCUUGCUGCUGUGCUCGCUUCGAAUGUGUGCUCUCCUCCUCCCUCUUUACUUUUCCCCAAGGCCCUGGAGUUGCUUUCUUUGGAGACAGCCUCUACCCACUCUUUCUUUCCAGCGCGGGGGCCAGCUGGCCCCCGAAAUCAAUCAGGGGCCCAUCAGAGACCGGGCUGGCCGCUGUCACUCCCGCCGUGGAAUUUAGGUAAGUUCCCCGGAGGCCCUUUAGAGCAAACGUGUCCAGAGUCGGCUCUGCCUCACGGAAUCCUCCCAUUUCCUGACGCCUCAAGGAUGUCUUUAUCUGCUAAGCCAUCGAGUUUCUACUGGAGGAGCGUGGACUCUCUUUGUGUUCCUUCCCUCUCUCCUGUGUCUUUUUUCUUUUUUAAAACGGGCUGCCUGGUCUCCCAGGAGGCUGUCAAUAGGCUUCGCCCACUCUGCCCUCUCCGCAGCUCUCUCUUGUCCAUUUUUAAAGUUUCCCUUUUCAGCACCGAUUUCAGCCAGCCUCCCACGCCCUGAGCCUUCCUGGGGCGGCGUGCCCUGUACUGCCCGGUUUAGGUGCUGGAGGAGUUUAAGAGAACUUUCAGUCCGGGAAUUCCAAACCUUUGUGUGUUUUCCUUGGGGUCCAUCCCAGCACUUCUGGGGAAGCUGGGAUGCUCCAAAGUCUCAUGCAAAGUGUCAAGGGUCUGGCCACUAAAGGGGUAGCGGACGAGGGACCCCACAGAUUCCCAUUUUGUUCCCAGGAGGCUCCCCUGGCCCAGCCCCUCGUUUCACAGAUCCGCAAAUGCAGUCCUGUGGAGCUAAUGGGUGUGAGCUGGGAGCCCCACUUGGGGCCUCUCUUAUUUGUGCUCUGCCGUAUCUGCGUGGAUCUUUCUGCCCCUUGAGGCUUCCCUCAACACUCCUCCUCCGUCCCGGGUUUUCCCUUUGGAUUCUUGCUUUCCCGCAUGGGCACACACAUCACGUACCCCCUUAUGCUUCCACAGGACUGGGGGCUCGCUGCAUAACUGGUGGGGCCCACGGCAAAAUCGAAAAAGUGGGUCCCAGCAGAGGGUGGGAACGCGAUUGCGAGUUUGGUGCGGGGCACCUGCCUGGGUCCCUGCAUGGGGGAUGCGUGGGAGGUCCAUGUUCAAGUGUGCAUUGAAUCAGCCGUGGAGCUGCAAACCCGGGAGGCCGCCAUACCUCACCCCGCAUGACACACUGUGGGGCACACGCUGACCCUAACCCUCCCUGCACCUGAACCCAGGCCAGGGCAGGUUAGCAGUGGAACAUGGCCCACCAUGGCGCCAGGCAAAGGGCGGCCGCCGAGGUGGAGGGGGUGGGGGAGGAGAGAGGAGGCCAUCCGGGGCCUGGGAAUCAGGAUUCAGACUGCAGGCUGUGGCCACCCCAGCCCAGAGAGGCAAUGGGGGGUGGACGCCACGUGAACAGAGGCUCCAGGCCUCCUGCACAUGCUCCUUGGUCCCACUGGACUUGACUUACACGACCAAAGAUGGAAGUGUUAGGAAGCUCCAGAUGGCAACAACUGAACAUCAAACGGAGUGUGGACCCUCCUGCAUGGGUCACGUGCCCAUGAAGUGUCCUGACAGCCUGGGACAGUUUUCAAAGCACGUUCACAUCCUUGCCUUUGUUCUGACCUCUAGAUAGCCCUUUGACUCAAACCGAUUGGGUGUCUUAAGCCUUAUUUUACAGGCAAAGACAAGACUCCACCAGGCAUAGCUUACAUACGUGAGUUCUGGAGUCAGACAGCUCAAAUAUGGGCUGGGCCUCAGAGGGGUGAAGGUUCUUCUUCAGGGUUGUUAUGGGAUCACAACAAAUAAUGUAUGGAACACGUUCCCUGGUGCCAGAUGCAGUCAGAAUGCUCCAUAAAUGGAGAUGUUAGUGUGCCCAGCGGAUGUAUCUGGCUUUUCCCAAAAUUCUAUUCAUGAACACUGUCACCAGUUUUCAGUUUUUACAUCUUAUCUGUACCAUUAUUGGCUUAAUAUUUUUUAAAUUUAAAUCUAUCUACUUCUUUUACACUUCCAGUGUUAUUUAAUUUAAUUUUAUUUCAAGUGGUUUUUUAAAUUUAUUUUUGAGAGAGACAGCGCAAGUGGGGCAGGAGCGGAGAGAGAGGGGGACAGAGGAUCUGAAGGGGGCUCUGUGCUGACAGCAGAUGUGGGGCUUGAAUUCACGAACCGUGAGAUCACGACCUGAGCCGAAGUCGGACGCUCAACUGACUGAGCCACCCAGACGCCCCUCCCAUUUUGUUUUAUAGGGUAACUUCAUUUUACUGUCGAGAAUGAAAGACCAGCAUCACUCAUCUUAAAUAGAAAGGUAAAGUAAAUUCGUGGAAAACAACAAUGGUAUGAAAAUCUGGCCAGAUACUUUUGCUUGCUGAACACUCUGAGCUUGUACCUAUUCUUUGUCAAAGAGGGAAAUUAGCAAGGAUUAAAGACUCAGCCUCGCCCUGAGAUUUCUCUUUGACUUCAUCUGCAGGAAAUCAUUUUGUCACUAUCCUAUUCAAUGUUACCCUGUGUCCAGCUGGUGCCUGUACCAUGACCACGAACUCUUGUGCGUUUCUUCACCUGCCGCGCUUUGGGAGAGCCUCGACACGAGGUUAGGACGCAGUGGAGCUAAGUUUCACAAAACGUGUAGCAUGACUGCAAAAAACUAGAAACCCACACAAAGCAGCUCCAAAUGGUUUUCAAGGACACAUGGACUGAAAGAAUUCACAUUGGCUCCUUAAUAGUGAUCACCUCUGAGGAAGGGAAGAGGAAAGCGUUGUUGGCAAAGGGACUUGCACCAGAAUCCCAACAUUUUAAUUGUUUUACCAAAAAAUGCUUGAAAUAGGGAAAUACUUUUACAGUUGUUAAUUCUGCAUCAUGAGGGUGUGAUUAUGUAGCGUUCUUCAGACUUUUACGUGUUUUUGAGUUUUCUUAAAUGUAAAAGACAAUAAAAGGGAAAAGGAAGAAAAGAAGCUCAAUCAGGCAAAAUGCUCCCAGAUGCGGAUGCAGGGAAGGAUCAAAAUGCUUUGGUAAAUCAGGGACUGUAUCAGUUUGCUACAGCUGCUGUAAUAAAUACCAUUGACUGCGUG
rnacentral:lncRNA from 1 species